UACGAAGGGGGCUAGCGUUGUUCGGAAUUACUGGGCGUAAAGCGCACGUAGGCGGACAUUUAAGUCAGGGGUGAAAUCCCGGGGCUCAACCCCGGAACUGCCUUUGAUACUGGGUGUCUUGAGUCCGGAAGAGGUGAGUGGAAUUGCGAGUGUAGAGGUGAAAUUCGUAGAUAUUCGGAAGAACACCAGUGGCGAAGGCGACUUACUGGACACAUAUUGACGCUGAGGUGCGAAAGCGUGGGGAGCAAACAGG
rnacentral:rRNA from 1 species